UUCAUAGAAGUUGUCCUGAGACAUCUGUGUAUGGUUAACUGUCAUUCCUGUUCUAUCUCCGAGCUCCACCUCACAAGUGUAAACAUUAUCUCAAUGUCUAAUCUCAUUCAGGUGACCAGUAAGUUUAAGAUGAUAAUUAUUUGUGAUGGACUAACUCUAAAAGCUUGGUUAGCAUUUAUCUGAUUUUAGCCAAAACUCUCUGGUGUGCAGAGAGGGCUGCACAUCUUAUGAACUUGAGUCCUGAGAGAUGUCACCACUUCCCCAAUUGUCCGCCUAGGAAAUGUAGCAAGAACACUACUCUUCUUAUCCUUGUACUUCACACCUGAAACCUCUGCCCCAGUGAGAUACAUAUCGUUAUUCUGGUUUUACAGAUGGGAAAACUGAGAUUAAGUGAUUUGCCAUCCACAGAAACUCUAUGGUACAGGAGGGAACAGGACGUCAGAUAUCCUUAUGUCCUAUCUUGGGCUUUAACGUAAGUCCAGCAAAGUAAAAACUAAAGGAAGAAAUAGAAGGAAUCAGAGUGAGUUUAGAGAAUGAAACUGCAAGCAACGUAAGAAAAACUCUAUGAAAAAAUGCAAAGAAAACCUCCUGUACAACAGUGAACUUCCUUAAGAACAGUAUGUAGUAAAGAACCCAACAUAUCCACUGAUGCAUGACUAGGAGCACGGAAAACUGAGAAGAAGAGAGAGGAAAUCAGUUCUUUUUUCAGGCACUACACUCUCAGAAACAGUUGGAGGAUAACAUGCUGUGGCUACAAGCAGUAUCAACUCUUUAUUUUCAGAUAAUUUCCUUCAACCACAGACUCUCUCACAAAUGAAACAGCUUCAUCACUUGAACAAGUCCAAAAACCUUGAGAAAUCCAUGCUCAUUCUUCUCUUUUUACAGUAUUUCACAGAGGUAAGAAAAAUACUUCCUUAAUUUGUGUUACAUUUCAAAAAGUUUAAAUGGUCUAAUAUCCUAUUCCUUUUCAACAUACCACAAAGUGCUAAAUGGUAAGAAUUACAUUACUGCUGCUUCUUAGAUUAUGACUGAUAAGGUGAGCCUUUUACAUUUAUAUUGAGUUCUGAAGAGCUGAUGCUAUACUGGUUGAAUAAUUAAUAAUUCAUGGAGCCAAAUUACAGCCCCAGAAGGAUACAGUCACUUUUACUAGUUCUUUCAUAUUCCACUGAUUUAUGUAUGACAGAGUAGGGGCCUGAGCAAAAGAAAAAGUAAAAGUUUAUACUUUAGGUUUGAAAUGAACUCUUUUUUUCUGUCAUUUCAAAAGAAUCAUGGUCAACAACAACAUUUCUGUUACAAUAAAUAUAGGUGGCAAUAAAAUCUCAGGACAUAUAUUCAACUUAUUAAAAAAUAAGUUUCUUGGGUACACAAAAACGUGGAUAUUAAUACUGAUAAUAAUUCUUAACACACCAAAAAACCUCUCUAAUCACAGAAAUGCUAUAUGGCCAUUCAUUGAUUCAUUAGCAGCCUUCACACUUGCACUUGCUUUCGUAAAACUUAUAUCAUUCAGGUUAAGAACCCAUGAAUGACAAAAACUUUGUUAAUCAAAUGCCAGUGUUGACAUAGCCUUUAUUUCUUCUCGAUGCUCCCUUUUUCCUGCUGCCUUACAUGCAUUCACUUCAUGGAUUGAUUUCCUAAUACAGUCCUGCCUCCAACCUCUUCUUGUUUUUCCUAAAAACCCAAUUCUGAUGUGAGGCCCCACCCAUGGAAACAAUGAAAAUUGACAGACUAAGAAUUUUAUAAGAAAACCACUCCAUUUUGGUUUCCAAAGCAUACCCUUAGUUAGGAUUUUCAAAAGUACUUAAUUCUCAUUUUCAAAAGUGACACAUAAGGUCAGAUUUUAAACAUUAAUUAGAUACCCAAAGUCACAGGUAGUGGCCUAUUUAAAAGCAUGUAGACUCAUUUUCAGAAUCAGCAAAACUGUUUUGGCAAAGAUCUUCCCAAAUAAUUCAAACUGAGGUAGAUGUUGAGAAGAUAUAUUUCAGCUCAAAUUGUAAAAGUUUGGCUAAAAAGUUAUAAGAAACUGAAAACAAAGCCUUAUAAUAGCAUCAGGCAACCUUAAUAAUGGGCCUAUCAGCCCUAUAAUAUGCUUGAAUGAGGCAUGCUCUAAGUAAACUAAACCCACGUUAAAUAGAAAUUUCUCAGUGAAAGUCCUGAUGUCUUUUUUUAAAUCUUUUUUUUUUAAAUUUUCACUGUUUACAGUGACUUAAUGAGUAGUAAUUAAUGUUUGGAUAACAGACAAUAGGAUUGCAUGAAUAAAUGAUUACAGAGGGGGUUACUGCAUGGAUUUAUUCAGGGAGAAAAAUAAAAUAGGGUUUGUCAGAAGAUUUCAGUAAGCCACUAUUGUGUCCUGUAGUUCACUUUCUUAUCUGCUUAGCAUAUUUAGACUGGAUGCCUGCUAUUUUAUCUGAAUAAG